rnacentral:rRNA from 1 species
CUGGCGGCAGGCCUAACACAUGCAAGUCGAGCGCUCACUUCGGUGGGAGCGGCGGACGGGUUAGUAACGCGUGGGAAUAUGCCCGGUACUAAGGAAUAGCCUUUGGAAACGAAGAGUAAUACCUUAUACGCCCUUCGGGGGAAAGAUUUAUCGGUAUCGGAUUAGCCCGCGUAAGAUUAGAUAGUUGGUGGGGUAAUGGCCUACCAAGUCUACGAUCUUUAGCUGGUUUUAGAGGAUGAUCAGCAACACUGGGACUGAGACACGGCCCAGACUCCUACGGGAGGCAGCAGUGGGGAAUCUUAGACAAUGGGCGCAAGCCUGAUCUAGCCAUGCCGCGUGAGUGAAGAAGGCCUUAGGGUCGUAAAACUCUUUCGCCAGAGAUGAUAAUGACAGUAUCUGGUAAAGAAACCCCGGCUAACUCCGUGCCAGCAGCCGCGGUAAUACGGAGGGGGUUAGCGUUGUUCGGAAUUACUGGGCGUAAAGCGCACGUAGGCGGACUGGAAAGUUGGGGGUGAAAUCCCGAGGCUCAACCUCGGAACUGCCUCCAAAACUAUCAGUCUAGAGUUCGAGAGAGGUGAGUGGAAUUCCAAGUGUAGAGGUGAAAUUCGUAGAUAUUUGGAGGAACACCAGUGGCGAAGGCGGCUCACUGGCUCGAUACUGACGCUGAGGUGCGAAAGUGUGGGGAGCAAACAGGAUUAGAUACCCUGGUAGUCCACACCGUAAACGAUGAAUG